UUAAUAUGCAUAAGGGUUUUUUUAUGCAUGGUGCAUACGGACUUCACAACCAUCAGAUUUAGUUUUACACGUGUUAUAAUCCUAGCCCCUCUCAGCUCACACUCUCACAAUCAGACACGGCUUCAAUCAAUCAAAACGAAGACGGCGAUGACAUUUUCACCGACGCACUUCUCCAAUGUUUCACCGACGACCCGCCGGAAACUUCUACCUCCGAUUCCACGUUUCCAGUGAAUCGAUCCAUUGUUUUCUUCAAUUCCGAUUGAAAUGGCCGAUCAGUUAGCGAGGGCAGAGGAUUUCGAGAAGAAAGCUGAGAAGAAGCUCAGCGGUUGGGGCUUAUUCGGUUCAAAAUUCAAAGAUGCUGCUGAUCUCUUCGAUAAAGCUGCAAAUUCAUUCCAACUCACUAAAUCAUGUACAACAUGUUUAUCAAUGGAUACCACCAUGACAAGGAUGGCUGAAAUGCAACGUCGACGCCGGCUUUCAUAAGGAUGGCAGAAUCACAAGAGGAGGAUGGUGCAUCUGAGAUGACGGCGGACUAUUUAGGCGUGCAGGAACAUAUUGGAUAAGUCAUGAGAAUAAGCAAGAAAUCAUUACUAUUUCAUUUACUCUCUUUCAGAUAAUAAGGACAGCAACAAGUGGAGGCAUGGCAUAAUGGAGCUUUGAGUUGGAUUGUACCAUUUUCUCUUUCUUAGCAAGUGUAGUUGGAUAGUAUCCUUAUUUCAAAUAUUAAGAGAUUAUUGCUUUUAAAUUUCAACUUUGAGGUAAAGUUUGUAAAGCGUCAAGGGAAUUUGGUUGCUCAUAUGUUAGCUAGUGCGGCCAAUUCAUAGGCUAGUCGUUGUGUUUUCUAUUCGAUUCCUCCUUGUAUUGAGAACCAA